UGCCAGCCGCCGCGGUAAUACGGAAGGUCCAAGCGUUAAUCGGAAUUACUGGGCGUAAAGCGCGCGUAGGUGGUUUAUUAAGUUGGAUGUGAAAUCCCCGGGCUCAACCUGGGAACUGCAUCCAAAACUGAUUCACUAGAGUACGAUAGAGGGAGGUAGAAUUCACAGUGUAGCGGUGGAAUGCGUAGAUAUUGUGAAGAAUACCAAUGGCGAAGGCAGCCUCCUGGAUCUGUACUGACACUGAAAGACGAAAGCUAGGGGAGCAAACAGGAUUAGAUA
rnacentral:rRNA from 1 species